rnacentral:rRNA from 1 species
GGACUACACGGGUUUCUAAUCCUGUUUGCUCCCCACGCUUUCGCGCCUCAGCGUCAGUAAUGGCCCAGUGUGUCGCCUUCGCCACUGGUGUUCUUCCGAAUAUCUACGAAUUUCACCUCUACACUCGGAGUUCCACACACCUCUGCCAUACUCAAGGUCGCCAGUAUUGAAGGCAAUUCCAGGGUUGAGCCCUGGGCUUUCACCCCCAACUUAACGACCCGCCUACGCGCCCUUUACGCCCAGUAAUUCCGAGCAACGCUAGCCCCCUUCGUAUUACCGCGGCGGCUGGCAC